UGAAGUUAAAAAAAAUAAUUGAAAUCAGUGACCCACCAACAUUAAACACAGAAGAGAGAGCGCAGCUACUCACCCCACCUUCUCCAUCGUCGGACAGUCGCCGGCGUCAUUUACUGUCAUCGUCGCCUCACCUCUGCUCACGGUUGCUAGCUUACGUCUCUGUUCCGCACUUGUCUUCUUUGCAGCAAGACUUCUAGGGCUUUCAGUUGCACACUCCUUAUCGUUUUUUGGGCUCUUUCCUUCAAAUCCACCUUUUUCCCUUUUCUUUCUCAACAAGACUUCAUCGAUGUAGUAUGCAGUGCACAGAGUCACACCACCACUCUCUCUUCUCUUUACUUUCUGGUUUCCUUCCUUACACUUUUUAUUCCAAAAACUUGCUUUUUCUCAUAUACUCUAGUAAUUGCAGGUUUUUCGUACUUUGCUGAUGGUCAUUGGAUUUAUUCUCUCAAGUGGAGGAGAUAGUUGCCUGGUUCUAUUCCAUUGAAAAAAUAAGUGAAUUUAGCAAGGUGUGGCUUUAGCUUCUAGAAUAUUUGGAAUUCGAUUCAAUUUAGGGGAAGGAUGGGAUUGUGGCCAAUUUCUAUAGUCUUCAUUCAUGGAUGGGUUUGAUUUGCACUUUCCUCUUUGGAACAAAGAAGAAGGACGAGCUACAUUGACGAGUGAUAAACACAUGGCUUCUUCCUCUUCCUCUCCAGCACCGUUACAGACUACUAUGCUUCUUGGUUCGCCUAGUUUCCCAAACGCCAUUGCUUGGUCCCAAGACAACCUCUUGCUGUUGCUACCGCCCACUUCGUUACCAUUCUUAGACCAGACAUGCCUCAUGGACCACGUGGAAUAAUCAAAAUCUCUCCAAUUGAGCCAUUCCUCUUUGGCUUUGUUGAAAGAAAAGAUUUAAUCUCUGGAUGCCUCCUCCCUAUUAGUUUGUACCGUGAUGAUAAGCCUGUUGUUCAGUCAAUAUCAUGGUCGCCACUUGGCAUUUCUUUGAAUUCAGGGUAAGAAUUUGAUGAUUAGCAAGCAAAGAUGC